GAAAAUGCCAUUUACAUGACAAAGCCCACUCUUCAACAAACAAACGUCAAUUGUAUGCAUUAAAAGCGGAGGUGGAGUAGGGGGUUUAUAGAACACACCACGGAGGGGAGAUAUAAAAGGACAGACAUUAUUGUUGCACUGUAACCAUCUGAUUAACAUGCCCCUAACACUUUCUCUUACUUUCUUGGGAUCCUAGCAACUGCAACAAAGAGGCUGGAUUGUCCUGGGCACAAGGAACAGUCUUUGAUCUGUCACCAUUACAGUGAGCUACAAUGACUGGGAGACAUGCUUAGCACUAGCACGUCAUCAUGGCAGGGAGGAGAAAUCGAGCAACACACGAUGGAUCGGCGCCUUUUCGCUUUUUCUGAAGAGGAAUGCAAGUGGAGUUUUGUUGUAGUGCAGUGGCCACUUAUCACCGGUCAAUAUUGAAGAAAUUGUAAUUGAACAGCACCACUCAAUCUUUAUAAGAUAAAAAUGCCUUUAUUGCAGCCUUCUGGGCAUCACAGUGACGUUUCAGGCCUCAAAUGGCCUUUUAUCAAGCUCAUUAUGGGCGGAGAAAUGCAAAUCAUUCGUUUAUGUGAUUGUGUCCCUAUGGCCAACUAUGCAUGCAGUACCGCUGGAUUUAUAGAAUAGAUGCAGCCUAAAAUGGCAUGAGCCAAGUAAAUAACUUGUGU